rnacentral:tRNA from 1 species
GCAUCGGUGGUUCAGUGGUAGAAUGCUCGCCUGCCACGCGGGCGGCCCUGGUUCGAUUCCCGGUCGAUGCA